GGAUUAGAUACCCUAUUAUAAAAAAAUUUUGAAAUUAUUAUGUGAUGAAAUUUAAAAAUUUUGGCGGUUUAUUAUUAGUUAGAGGAGCUUGUUUAUAAUAAAGUAGUAUUUACUCUUUAGAUCUUAUGAAUAAUGAGUUUAUUUAUCUCCGUUAUUAGCAGAAAUUGUAACUUAUAAUUAUAUAAAAUUAAAUAUUUCAGGUCAAGAUAUAGCUAAUAUUUUUUUAGAUUAGCUACAAUUAUGUAGUAAUGGAUGGGUUUAAUGAAUAUUAAAAUUGAAAAUGAAUUUGAUUGUAAUAAAUUUUAAAAAGAAUUAUAAUUAUGUUUUAGUGAAUGUACAUAUCGCCCGUCACUCA
rnacentral:rRNA from 1 species